rnacentral:lncRNA from 1 species
CUGGAGGGCAGCGAACCAUCCUGCCCAGAACCUUAUCCUCACAGUCCAUUUUGACGCAGGACCUACAGAUCACAGGGCAACAGGGGCUGUGAGGGAGUUGUCUGGAUUUCCCAAGGUGGAGGAGGCGAAAGAGGAGAUGGAUCCCAAGCUCCUGCACCAGCACCAGCGAGAGACAAAGGCCCCGCCAAACGCCGGAAGCCACGCCCUCCUCUCUUCUCAAACUGUGCGCCCGAUUGGGUGGUUCCCACACCAGCGCCACUGAUUGAAUAAAACGCCAGGACCCACCCAUCCGCACCCCACCCCGGCCCCUGCCCCACUCACCCUGAGCGUUAGUGUAUUUUUGUUUGUUUCUUUGUUUUACUUUAAGUUUUGGGAUACAUGUGCAGAACGUGCAGGUUUGUUACAGAGGUUUACAUGUGCCAUGGUGGUUUUCUGCACCUGUCAACCUGCCGUUUAGGUUUUAAGCCCCACAUGCAUUAGAUAUUUGUCCUAAUGCUCUCCCUCCCCUUGACCCCAACCCCCUAACAGGCCCCAGCAUGUGAUGUUUCCUUCCGGUGUACAUCUGUUCUCAUUGUUCAACUCCCACAUAUGAGUGAGAACAUAUGGUGUUUGGUUUCCUGUUCCCUGUGUUAGUUUGCUGAGGAUAAUGGUUUCCAGCUUCACUCACGUCCCUGCAAAGGACAUGAACUUAUUCUUUUUUAUGGCUGCAUAGUAUUCCAUGGUGUAUAUGUGCCACAUUUUCUUUUUCCAGUCUAUCAUUGAUGGGCAUUUGGGUUGGUUCCAAGUCUUUGCUAUUGUAAACAGUGCUGCAAUAAACGUAAAUGUGCAUGUGUCUUUAUAGUAGAAUGAUUUAUAUUCCUUUGGAUAUAUACCCAGUAAUGGGAUUGCUGGGUCAAAUGGUAUUUCUGCUUGUAGAUCCUUGAGGAAUCACCACACUGUCUUCCACAAUGGUUGAACUAAUUUACACUCCCUCCAGCAGUGUAAAAACGUUUCUGUUUCUCCACAGCCUCACCAGCAUCUGUUGUUUC